GGGGCGGGGUUUAGCUUUGACUGACAGCCCUUCCGUCCAAUCGUCGCACUCUUUUUUUGCUCGCACUAACAGAGCAAAAAUGGCGUAGGAGCGGAGGGUGAAGGAAGGAGAGGACCUUCUUCUCUCCACCUCGCCGUGUCCAGGAGAGGAGAGAAGGGGGUCCGCAAGUCUGAAGUUUUCCUGUAAAAUUGUCGAGUCGUCUUAUGAGAAUAAACCUGGCAGUCCUGCAGGUGAAGAGGACUCUUAAUGUGUCACCGCAGAGGAAGGAUCCCGCCGGCUUUUGUUUACCAUUGUGUGAGGCAGCAGCUCAGAGGAACAGAGGAAAUAUUUCUACAUCAUUUCACACUGAGGUAGAGAGAUGGAGCCGAUCCCGGUAGAAGACCCAGAACCUCUACUUCUGCCGAGCCCAAGAGAACUGUAGCUAAGCUAACCCUCUUUUGGGAUCCUCCCACUGCCUGUCCUGCUGUUUUCUGGGACACUGGAUAUCUCUCUCUUUUACAGCAUUCCCAUUUGUCCCGACCUCUUUCUGCAGCCUAAUCAUCAGUGAGGACCGCUCGCAACAUUUCAGAUUCACAAAGAUUUAAAGUGGUCCAACUUCGGACAUAAAAACUAUAACAUAAAGCACGAUGUAACGACACCUGUUUAAUUUGCUUAAAGAAACGGGUGAUUUCCUGGUGACGCUCAUGUAAACGGAGUUACUUUUCAAACGCACAAGAGGUUUGAGAAUGAGUAAACUAUAUGUGUUUUUUUUUUUUUUUUUUAACGAAGAAAGUAAAGACACAACAUACUGUAGCAAAGAUCAAGCGCCUGUGAUACAAAUUAAGAUUCAUUGAUUCGUUUUCCUUUCUUUUUAACUACCUCAUUGCCACAGUAAGUCCAACGGGAAUGAGAGGAGCAUUUUCUGAACAAAGAGCACCACAGCAGUCACUUUUGUCUGUCCAUCAAUGUUUCAGUAUUGAAGUCGGGUAGUUGGCAGGAGAGCAGAAGAUGAAUAUGCUGUUGCUUAUAUUCAGCAUUAGUCUUGUUUGCUAGGAGGAUUCCUUAAACGUCUUGCCUAGAAAGGAUCUGGUAGAUUUUUAUAGACGGCACAGUAUCUCUAUAAAAAUCUGAAGCCAAAGUGGGUAUGAUGAGGCAAGUGCUUUUAUUUAACCAGUAAUAUUUAGGUCGCUGAAAAUGUACUGCUAAAUUUGGGCUCCUAAUAAGCAGGGAAAAAAAGCAAAGUCCCUGCCAGAUUACAGCUUGCAGCAACGUGUGGGGAAGGGGCCGUGGCUGGAAAUCUCUGUUUGGAGCUUUUUUUCUGGCAUCUCUUCAAAAGCAUUUUAGUGGGGUUUUUUUGUUUUUGUUUUUAGGGUCUUUAAAAUUUUAUCAACAACCGAAGUUUAUUUCCAUCUUGCUGCCGCUCUUUUGGGGUCGAGGAAAUUGGUUAUGUGAUAGUGACACAGCACAGGAUUGUGUGUAGGUUAGCUGAAGCAGAGAAUGAGCGAAGUUGGCAGUAAAUAUCGGCCAAAAUGGGAGGAUUAAUAUCGGGUAUUGGUAUCAGCCCAAAGGUUCACUUCGGUGCAUCCCUACUUCGUACCUUGAUGCUAAUCUCACGCCUAGCCGUGUCUGCGUAGCAUCAAGAGUUUACAUCUCACACUUCUUGCAGCUUAUAAAUGGCUUCCCCUUUUAAUUUUAUUUUAUUUUUUUGCCAUGUACAUGUAUAGGAAAAACAGCAACAACAUAAUUCCAUUUUGCUGGGAUCUGUGCAAUAUUUGAUCUUAACUGUCAUGUUGUUGACCAAACUGUAUAUUGUAUAAAACAAGUGACAAGUUGUUUGAAAGCAACAAAAUCACCAAUGUCUUCCAUUAAGAUAUGUAUAGACUCAUGUGCAUUAGCUUAUUUAGCGGGACUGUGGUGCCAAAAAAACAUCAUAGUAGCCAUGCAUGACCAGUAGUAAUGCUUGCUUCAUCACGAGUAUCGAUUUGUAGGCCGAGCUGAACCUCAAAUCUGUGGAGUCCAUUUCGGUAAAAACUAGGGAGCGUUAGCCUCACAUACUUAAAAACCUCUAGGUACGUCAAAUUUAGAUACCGCUUUAACCUCAAAUCUAGUGCUUGAGCUCUGUUUUAAGGCAUGUAUAUGCUAGUAGGGAAUAUGUAGCAUGACACAGUUGGGAUUCACCAUUACAAAGAGGUGCACCAAUCAUGAUUUUGCUGCUUUUGUACGGCUUUGACCUGCCAACGUCGAUUUUAAUCUUUUAUGACUUCUCUUGAACUGUAACAUGAGAAAAUAUAACGGCAUUCAAAAUAUUUUAUUUAUAGACGUCCUGUCGUGAUUGGAGAUCGAUUGUGUAUAGUAAGAGCCAGAGGAGUCGCUGUAGAAUAAGGUUUGCAAGUAUUUUAAAGUGAAGUUUAAGGAUGUCUAAUUUUAGCUCUUACCAUCGUUAGCACAGCUAGCAUUACAGAAACAGCAUCAAUUGUAUGUAUUACUCGUAGAGAGCGUAGAUUCUUACACCAGCUCUUAAGGCUUAAAGCUCAAAAGGAUAACAUAGCAACCUUCUUCUACUCUGUUCAGCCUUCCUGUUUUCCACAAAAGUCUGGCUCUCUCUCGCCAGACUGCAGCCUUUGAGAGAGCUGUAAACUAUGAAUGAGUCACAGACUACAGCUGCAUUUCCAUGAACCAUAUAAUAACACAAUUUGACAUUUUUAAAAUAAAUUUGCUAAAUGGAAACACUGCACUCUCAAAAAAGCUCUUGUUUUUCUAGAAAAAAUUUGUCUCUAGGAUUAAACGGCGUUUUGGCCGUAGAGAAAUCGGUUUAUUUCGCUAAACUGCAAUGGAAAUACUUCUUAAAUCACCCAAGUCAUGUGAUCAACAACUGGAUGAACAAACAUAUUCACAUGUGAUGUUAAUUGGAUUUCAUAUUUAAUUGAAACUUUAAAAAAUAAUUUAUUAGCAUAAUAUCAACAAAAUUUUGCACACAUUUGGAAUGGAAACGUAGCUCGUGGUGAAUUCUGGAAAGAGUUUGGAUUUUCCAAAAGUGGAUCUCUUGGUGCACCUCUGCACGUGUUAAUGUUUGCUUUGCGUUUCAAACUACAUUUUAGUCUGUAAAGUUUUAACAUAAGAGCCAAAAAAAUUCUUCGAGAACCUAGUCUCAGAUGGGACAAUCUUUACAUAAAUGAUUUAGGAGGAGGAUCUUAAAUACCCAACUCAGCAUCUUGCAUAGGUGAUGCUGUUACAGUCUUCAUUGUGAAAUUGUACAAGUGACCUCAUAGUUUUGGGAUUCAGAGCGUUCUAUUUUAAUCCACAUAAUUGUAUUUAAUUAGAUUUUUUAGAAGCAAUAACCUGAAAUAAUGCAUGAAUAUAGCUCCAGGAGUUGGUGUUAAAAGGACAGUGUUAACAUCUCAUUGAAAAUCCCCCCUUUCCCUUGCUAUGCCUUUGAACUAGCAACGUGUUAGCCACCUAUUUCCUUUUAUUGUAUCUUUAUUUUUUUUAGCAUCAUUUAGUUUUAGUCGUUAUUAAACACGAAAACAGGCUUUAAAUUUGAACUCUUGUAGCAUCCACAAAGACCUUCUCCUCGUCUGCGAGUUGCAGACUUAGGAAUAAACGCGGCUGCAAAAGAACUAGCAGAACGACGCUAGCGUGAAAAGCACUUUCUCUCCACGUACCGACUUGCACCGCCCAUCGUCACCGUCACGUCUUGAAUGCUGUGUUCAGGCAACCCUGUAAUGUUCUUUCUGGUGAUUUUAUAAUCCCAAUUUAUGAGCAAGUAGACGUCCAGGUGAUAUGAAUUUGUGGGUUUAAAAAUAUAUGCAUGAUUUAGCAGAAUAAUGAAUGAAUUGUAUUGCAUGCAAUAACUUAACUUUGUAAUGUGAAUGAGUGUAAUUAUAGGGGGUGUGGGGGGAAGUAUUAUGAUUUUCCAAUCCAAAUAAAGGUAACGCCGACGGUUUUAUCGAUUAGCUGCGAUAUAUAACAAAGGAAUUAAUCAGUUUCUGUGUUUUUUCCUGUUGUGUCACAUGCAAUCUAGCAGUACCACUACAGUGCAGCUCUGCGGUUCUUGUUCCCAUGAGGAAAACUUAACAAGCUUUGGCGAGAUUCCAGAAAUUACUUUGUUGCUCAACUUUUCCACUGAGAUGGUGGGCUGUAUAGCGACUAUGCACUCCAGAGGGAGGAAACGGGCAUGCCUAAUAUGUGUGAGCCUCUUGUCUGGUUUUGUAAUAAAUGAAUAAAAAAGAUAAAUAAUAAAUCUGUAUCAGAAAAAUUUAAGCAAUAAACAGCAGCAUGGUGCCAAUUGAA